rnacentral:rRNA from 1 species
CACUCCUACGGGAGGCAGCAGUGGGGAAUUUUGGACAAUGGGCGCAAGCCUGAUCCAGCCAUGCCGCGUGCGGGAAGAAGGCCUUCGGGUUGUAAACCGCUUUUGUCAGGGAAGAAAAGGUUCUGGCUAAUACCUGGGACUCAUGACGGUACCUGAAGAAUAAGCACCGGCUAACUACGUGCCAGCAGCCGCGGUAAUACGUAGGGUGCAAGCGUUAAUCGGAAUUACUGGGCGUAAAGCGUGCGCAGGCGGUUAUGCAAGACAGAGGUGAAAUCCCCGGGCUCAACCUGGGAACUGCCUUUGUGACUGCAUGGCUAGAGUACGGUAGAGGGGGAUGGAAUUCCGCGUGUAGCAGUGAAAUGCGUAGAUAUGCGGAGGAACACCGAUGGCGAAGGCAAUCCCCUGGACCUGUACUGACGCUCAUGCACGAAAGCGUGGGGAGCAAACAGGAUUAGAAACCCUAGUAGUCCCAUG